rnacentral:rRNA from 1 species
AUGGAGUUCCUGAUGCAGCCUCUGCACGGAUCGACUUUCCUUGAAGAGGUUGGGGAGAGUUUGGUGCCGGGACCGGUGGCGGCGGACGGGGUCGAUGCGGAGAUGGUGGUGGAGCAUCCACUGGCAGCGCAGGGGACGGAUGGACAACAGGCGCCGGCUGAGGAGCAGCCGGCAGGUACAAGGGAGGCGCAGAUCUUGAUGGAGACUGAGGCAGCGCAGGAGAGGAGGGACGUGUCACCACCUAGCUCGGAGCUAUCUACAGGGAAGAUGAACCCACGAGCUCCUGGUUGGAAUAAGAGGUUAAGGAUUGGUGCUGCUGCACCAAGUCGACCGCCUUGCCCAAACCGUGUAAGUGCAUUUGAGAAGGCUGUUCGAAACUAUGCGGAGAAUCCAAGAGACAAUGUGGUCACACCGACUAUCGGCAUGACAUUUGACUCAGUUGGAGAGGCGUAUGACUUCUACAAUUUGUAUUCAUGGGAAAAGGGAUUUGGGAUCAGAUAUGGCAAGAGUCGGCUUAAUGCGGAGAGGAUUAAAUGCAUGCAAGAAAUAGUCUGUGGCUGCUCGGUUAGUACAAACUGUUUUGUAUGUCAAGUCUACAUUUUCUUGUUGUCCACGGAAACUGACAUAUGGGGAACAGAGGAAUAA